rnacentral:rRNA from 1 species
AGAAUCAACGCUGGCGGCGUGCCUAACACAUGCAAGUCGAACGAGAAAGUGGAGCAAUCCAUGAGUAAAGUGGCGACCGGGUGAGUAACACGUGACUAACUUACCUUCGAGUGGGGGAUAACCUCGGGAAACCGAGGCUAAUACCGCAUAACAUCGCAAGAUCAAAGCAGCAAUGCGCUGGAAGAGGGGGUCGCGGCUGAUUAGCUAGUUGGCGGGGUAAUGGCCCACCAAGGCGAAGAUCGGUA